GUCUGAAAUUUGAAUAAUUAAAAUAAGCUCUCCAACAUAUUUUAUAAAGUGGUGCACGUUAAAAAAAAAAAAAGAAGGUGGUGUACUGUAACCUUCUUUAACUGGAAAAAUAUUGAAGAUUCAAAGUUUAACAAAAUAUACUCAACAUGAGAUUUAAUAUAAUAAAAAUGAAGAUGUUUAAUUAGGUGUCAUAAUUAAUAUCAUCAGAAGUUCAUGUACGGUCAAAUUGCUAACAAAUUUGACCAUGAGUCAAUUCCAUCACUUAUGAAGUACUUAUCCUAUCUCUAAUUCAAAAAAGAAGUUAACAAGAAUAUAUACUCCAGCAUAGUUGUGAUUUUUUUUAUUUUUUUUUAUUUUGUACAUGAUUUCUACGAUGGGUAAAAGGAUUAUGGGUUAUGCACAUCAAAUUUCUCUGAAUAAUAUUCAAGGUAUAUUUUGUAGUUGUUUACAAUUAACAUUAUCCCCAAACCCCACUUGUGAGAUUACACUGGGUAUGUUGUGUUGUUACAAUUAACGUUACGUUCAUCUUUUGUCACAGGUGUAACUAAGGAAUCUGAAGUUUCGUUCAAUAGAUCUGAUGUAUAUAAAUAUCUCAGAAAUGCGAAAUGAAUAUGUUAUAUCCCAUAUUUUCAUACAUUGGGACGUUUUAAACUAAACGUGACAAGUUAAAGACAAGACUAUUUUAAGGUACAAAGUAGAGACUUUUAACUCCCGAUUUUGUUUCAAUGCACAAGUUACCUAUAAAUUUAUUGAUAUAAAAAAAAAAUAUUAUUGGAGAUUAGGGGUAAAUUAACUAUGAUUAGAUUAUUAAGUGGGAUUAAAAUUUAAUCACUUCAUUAAUUAAUUAAGCCUAAGGGGACAUGUGGGCCCCACCCGAAUAAAACAAAUAAAAAAAAUAAAGGAAUCAAAAUCUGAAAAUUAACAAAAACAAGUGCAAAGAUGACUCAACAUAAGGGGGAGUACGUGUAGCAUGAUGGGAAACCAUAUAUAAAAUAAAGCAUAGUGCAAAUGACACUUUCCAACUUCAUUUGUUGAAAAUCAGCUUUCAAGAACAACGAGAAGACAUCUAUGGCUGCUCACGGCCAGAUUGAGGUUUAACAAAAAAAAAAAAAAAACAGUUUGUAGCUUAAUAAAAUUCUAAGGAGAAGACAAGGAGAUAGAGGUGGAAAAGCAAGAACAAGUAUAAGAAUUUAAGACACAAAUUGGAGCCAAGUAUUCAAGGCGAAAAGAGCGACGAGGCAAAAAGGAUUCACGGAUAGUCGUCGACAGGUACAAACGCUCGUUUUGGAGAUCCGUCAGCUUAGGGUACCUAUUCAGCUAUUUUGGACUGCUCCUUUGUUCUGGAGCCUAGCCUGUGGUAUAACUCCCUUUUAUUGUAUAUAUAAGUGUUUAUUCGGGGUACGGCGGGGCCCUGUCCCGUCAUAUGAUAUUGUCGUUACUCUUAGAGGUCUGUGGACAUCUUUGUGGGUCUGUAUAUAGUUGUUGUUGCGUUGUAUGACUAUGACUUAUGUUUGGGGCGUACCCAUUCGUAAUGGCAGCCUUGUCGGCUUGCGUAUCUAUGCAUAUGUUUUGGGAUGUUGUGCGUAGUGGCAGCCUUGUCGGCUUGCGUAG